rnacentral:misc_RNA from 1 species
AAAGUAUCAAAAGCUACAUGAUGAAAUCAUUGUUGCUUUUUGGACCCUGGGGGCUUGCUGGCUUGAAAAUGGUCAGCUCCUCUUAAAUGGAUUAGCAGAGGGUUGGAAAAAGUCUUUUCAAAAUCAAAUCCACGCUUGUUCUGGCAUUGAUAAUGGUAUUUCUGUUCAUGCCCUGAGCAUCAAAGCUUGGCUUUUGAAGAGUUUACCCGUUUGCUUAUAGUGGUCUCCUUGAGGGACAAACCAUUAAAUCUCCAUU